CAACAUAUCAGCUGUGCAACGAAAAAUUGUGAGGUCCUAUGCAUGGGAUAGAUGUAAUAAUGAUACGAGGUACCCGGAAAGAAUACACAAGCAUUUAUGGGCCAUGAAAUACUGACUGUAUACAGCAAGGCCCAGUUCCCCCAAAUGGGUCACAGUCAUCAAGAAAGGCUUCUUUGGAAUUAUCGAGAAGAGUGGAUCAAUGAUGGAGCACACAAGGAAACAGAAAAGAAUCUUCACCCGUGUGUCAUAACAGACUGUCCAAAUGAAUUGUCAACAGG